CCGACCAUAGCUCAGUUGGAAGAGCGCAUGACUGUAAGUGCAGUAGUGAUAUCAUGAGGUCCCCAGUUCGAACCUGGGUGGUCGGA